CCUACGGGUGGCAGCAGUGGGGAAUAUUGGGCAAUGGGCGCAAGCCUGACCCAGCAACGCCGCGUGAAGGAAGAAGGCUUUCGGGUUGUAAACUUCUUUUCUCAGGGACGAAGCAAGUGACGGUACCUGAGGACUAAGCCACGGCUAACUACGUGCCAGCAGCCGCGGUAAUACGGCGGUGGCAAGCGUUAUCCGGAUUUACUGGGUGUACAGGGCGUGUAGGCGGGAAAGCAAGUCAGAUGUGAAAACCAUGGGCUCAACCUGGGGCCUGCAGUUGAAACUGUUGUUCUUGAGUACUGGAGAGGCAGACGGAAUUCCUAGUGUAGCGGUGAAAUGCGUAGAUAUUAGGAGGAACACCAGUGGCGAAGGCGGUCUGCUGGACAGCAACUGACGCUGAGGCGCGAAAGCGUGGGGAGCAAACAGGAUUAGAUACCCUGGUAGUC
rnacentral:rRNA from 1 species